rnacentral:rRNA from 1 species
AACGAACGCUGGCGGCAUGCUUAACACAUGCAAGUUGAACGCAGAAUAGGGCUUCGGCUCUAUUGCUGAGUAGCAAACGGGUGAGUAACGCGUGGGAAUCUACCUUCUUGUGGGGGAUAACUAAGGGAAACUUUAGCUAAUACCGCAUACGCUCUACGGAGGAAAGGCUUCGGCCGCAAGAAGAGGAGCCCGCGUCAGAUUAGGUAGUUGGUGGGGUAAAAGCCUACCAAGCCAAUGAUCUGUAGCUGGUCUGAGAGGAUGAUCAGCCACACUGGGACUGAGACACGGCCCCGACUCCUACGGGAGGCAGCAGUGGGGAAUAUUGGACAAUGGGGGAAACCCUGAUCCAGCAAUGCCGCGUGAAUGAAGAAGGCCGUAGGAUUGUAAAGUUCUUUCACCUGUGAAGAUAAUGACGGUAGCAGGAGAAGAAGCCCCGGCUAACUCCGUGCCAGCCGCCGCAGUAA